AUGACUGUGGCAGGAGGGGGGUGCACAGCUGGUCUUGGGCUGCAGCUCAGGGUCAGGAGGGGGUGCUCAGGAAACUUGGGCUAGAGCUCUGGGCAGGUGCCCAGCGCAGGGAGAAUAGGAAAGAAACAUUGUUAGGGGGUUCAGAUGGUAGUUGAUCAAGCAGAGCAGGAGAGAGAGGUGCCUGCGUGUGAUGAGGAAAACUCUCGCAGAAUAAGGCUAUGGAACUUGGUUUGGUGUCAAUAGCACAAACUGAGAGGUGUAUUAACGUAAAAAAAUAAAAAAUAACGAGCUGUGCAUUUCCUGGUGGUGCAAGGGUGUUGCUAGGUGAUUGAUAAGUCAUUGCCAUAGUGUUGCUAGGUGGUAGAUAGGGCAUUGCUAGGUGGUUGCUAGAUGGUUGCUAAGCUGUUUCUAGGGUUGCUAGGUGGUUGAUAGGGCGUUGCUAUGGUGUAUCUAGGUGGUUGCUAUGGUGUUGCUAGUGGUUGAUCAGGUGUUAUUAUGUGGUUGCUAGAGUGUUGCUAUGGUAUUGCUUGGUGGUUGAUAGGGCAUUGCUAGGUGGGUGAUGGCUUUGCUAGGGUGUAUCUAGGUGGUUGCUAUGGUGUUGCUAGUGGUUGCCAGAGUGUUGCUAGGUGGUUGAUAGUGCAUUACUAGGGUAUAUCUAGGUGGUUGCUAAGGUGUUGCUAGUGGUUGAUCAGGUGUUGCUAUGUGGUUGCUAGAGUGUUGCUAUGGUGUUGCUUGGUGGUUGAUAGGGCGUUGCUAGGGUGCAUCUUGGUGGAUGCUGUGGUGUUGCUCGGCGGUUGCUAAGUGAUGCCAGUUUAAGGUGUUGGUCGAUUGUUGCGAAGGUGUUGCUAGGUGGUCGAUGUUAACUGGUUGCUAGGGUGUUAUUAGGUUGUUGCAAUAGUCUUGCAAGGUGUGUUAGGUGGUUUCUAGGGUGGUGCUAGGUGGCUGCUAAUGUGUUAGGCUGUUGCUACAUGGUUGCUAUGGUGUUGCUAGGGCGUCACUAUGGUGUUGCUAGGUGGUUGCUAAGGUGUUGCUAGGGUGUUGCAAGGUGGAUGCAAAGUUGUUGCUUGUUCAUUGGUAAGGUGUUACGAGGUGUUUGUUAUGCUGUUGCUAGGUGGUUGCUAUGGUCUUGCAAGGUAGUUGCUAAGAUGUAUUAGGUUGUUGCUUGGGUGUUGCUUGGUGGUUGCUAAGGUGAUGUCCAGUGGUUGAAAUGUGUUUGCUAAGGUGGUUACUAGGGUGUUGUUCGGUGCUUGCUCAGUGGUUGCUAACAUGAUGUCCAGUGGUUGAAAUGUGGUUGCUAAGGUAGUUUGCUUGGGUGUUGUUUGGUGGUUGCUAAGAUGUUGCUUGGUGGUUGCUGAGGUGUUGCUAGGUGGUUGCUAACGUGAUGUCCAGUGGUUGAAAUGUUUGCUAAGGUGGUUACUAGGGUGUUGUUCGGUUUGUGCAUGGCCAUCGUGCUGCUGUGAUCUGUCGUUUCAUCUUUGCACACUGUGCAAAGCACUAUAUUAUUGGGUUUUUGCUUAAAGAAUUCCCACUUUGGAUGCUCAUGUUUUUUGGAUGAACUCUCUCCCACACUCUCAGCUGGGUUUGCCGCCGCCAUGUUCAAAACGAUACGAAGCGUCUGUUAUAUAUCCAAAUCAACGAAAUUACAUGGUCGAUAUCAUUGACAACGUCGACUAAUCGUUGCAGCCCUAGUGGUUGCUAGGCAUUUAUAAUAGCCAAUCAGAGAGGUGAUGUGUUACAGCAUAAUGCAAGGCAAUUAGUUUCAUGAAACUAUAUCCACCAUAUAAGCAUGAUUGUUUAACCAAAGUCUAUGAAGCCUAUAUAAGUUCAUAUAAGUUCCUAGGUUGUAUCUUAGUCAGUUGCCAGGUAUUCAUAAGAGCCAGCAUGAGGUGUUAUUGCAUAAUGCAAGACAUUUGGUGUAAUUAAAGUAUAUGAAGCAUAUGAGCAUAUAUGUUUAAUAAAAAUCUGUAUAGCCUAUAUACGACUCUGAGUCUAUAUAGACUGCUAGGGUGUUACUAAUCAAUUGCUAGGCAUUUAUUCCAGCCAAUCAGAGAGGUGAGAUGUUACAGCUUUGGUCUCAUGGCACACCAUGUAUGCAGUCAGUUAUGAGCUCUCUGCUAGAGGGCAGAUGCUAUUGCGACAUCAGAGGGUUCCAUCAGACACACGGCUAACUUGCAUAUCAAAUGUGGGUUGGCUGAACUGCAGAAUGUCCAUUCGAAAGAGACUGGAGUGUGAAGAAACCAUUUAGAGUUCAGGUUUGCAUUCGAUCACAUCCAGAUUCAUUGUAAGACAUUUAAACCAGGGUUGCCCAAAUCUUUUGCACCACACUGUACAAAGAUUUGGGUCAAGGGCCUUGUUUUGUUGUACAUAUUGGAUUCAAACUCGGAAGCAUUUAUAUUUCAGAUAAUUUGUUGACUUGCUCAUUUACAUGGUUUACAAGGUAAAUUUAAGCGAUGUCAUCUUUCUUUUAUCUUCCCCUCUCAGCUCUGUAUAUUAAAGGCAAUGAUGUCACAAAGCUGGCUUCCAUGGCCAAGCUGAAAGCAGGACGCCUGGUUCGAGAAGUAGGGGACAGCUGCCUGCAAUACUGGGGAGGGAUGGGCUUCACAAGUGAAGUUCUGGUCAGUCGGUUUUACAGGGACUCCAGGCUGAUGUCAAUUGGUGCUGGAGCUGAUGAAGUCAUGCUGUCCAUUAUAUGCAAGUACAUGGACACCUUACCCAGGAAAUGAUGUCAUAUUACAUUUACAUAUUAACUACUCAGAACUAUCACAAUAAGUGCACUUCUUUAUCCUUGAUCAUUUACUCAUUUUGUUCAAAGCUGACAUGUAAAAAGAUAUUUGAAAUGUUUAAUUGUUUUGGAUUUUGCAAUCUUGUUGAUGCAGUCUUCCAGAAUAAAUGGGGAAAAAAUGGCUCAAAAUUCAUUCAUUACACAUCCACACUGUAUUAUGAUCAGAGCACCAAUUCCUUUAAUAUUAAUGGCUAAAUUUGAAUAGCUCUGUAGUCUACAGGACAUUAAUCAGUUAAACACCCCUGCUGAAUGGCAAAAUACCAGUCUAAGAGGGACUUUGUGUUAGUGUUAAUCCCAAAAUGCAGGUGUUGCAAAAGUUUCUUCCCAAUAUGCAAACAAAAAUAGUUUCUUACAUGUAGAAAGAUAUUUAAUGUAUAUUUUGUAAUCCAGUUGAUGUAUAGGAAAUGCAAUGCCUUUAAGAAUAAAUGCAAAAAACAGUAGUUUUUUUAUUAAUGUUUUUAAUAUUGAAUCUGAAAAUAAAAUGGUUAAUAUUCUUGA